UACGGGGGGGGCAAGCGUUGUUCGGAAUUACUGGGCGUAAAGGGCGCGUAGGCGGUUGGAUAAGUCAGCUGUGAAAACCACGAGCUUAACUCGUGGCCUGCAGUUGAGACUGUCUGGCUUGAGUGUGGGAGAGGAGAGUGGAAUUCCUGGUGUAGCGGUGAAAUGCGUAGAUAUCAGGAAGAACACCCGUGGCGAAGGCGGCUCUCUGGGACGGUACUGACGCUGAGACGCGAAAGCGUGGGGAGCGAACAGG
rnacentral:rRNA from 1 species